AGAGUUUGAUCCUGGCUCAGGACGAACGCUGGCGGCGUGCCUAAUACAUGCAAGUAGAACGCUGAAGAGAGGAGCUUGCUCUUCUUGGAUGAGUUGCGAACGGGUGAGUAACGCGUAGGUAACCUGCCUUGUAGCGGGGGAUAACUAUUGGAAACGAUAGCUAAUACCGCAUAACAAUGGAUGACUCAUGUCAUUUAUUUGAAAGGGGCAAAUGCUCCACUACAAGAUGGACCUGCGUUGUAUUAGCUAGUAGGUGAGGUAACGGCUCACCUAGGCGACGAUACAUAGCCGACCUGAGAGGGUGAUCGGCCACACUGGGACUGAGACACGGCCCAGACUCCUACGGGAGGCAGCAGUAGGGAAUCUUCGGCAAUGGGGGCAACCCUGACCGAGCAACGCCGCGUGAGUGAAGAAGGUUUUCGGAUCGUAAAGCUCUGUUGUAAGUCAAGAACGAGUGUGAGAGUGGAAAGUUCACACUGUGACGGUAGCUUACCAGAAAGGGACGGCUAACUACGUGCCAGCAGCCGCGGUAAUACGUAGGUCCCGAGCGUUGUCCGGAUUUAUUGGGCGUAAAGCGAGCGCAGGCGGUUUGAUAAGUCUGAAGUUAAAGGCUGUGGCUCAACCAUAGUUCGCUUUGGAAACUGUCAAACUUGAGUGCAGAAGGGGAGAGUGGAAUUCCAUGUGUAGCGGUGAAAUGCGUAGAUAUAUGGAGGAACACCGGUGGCGAAAGCGGCUCUCUGGUCUGUAACUGACGCUGAGGCUCGAAAGCGUGGGGAGCGAACAGGAUUAGAUACCCUGGUAGUCCACGCCGUAAACGAUGAGUGCUAGGUGUUGGAUCCUUUCCGGGAUUCAGUGCCGCAGCUAACGCAUUAAGCACUCCGCCUGGGGAGUACGACCGCAAGGUUGAAACUCAAAGGAAUUGACGGGGGCCCGCACAAGCGGUGGAGCAUGUGGUUUAAUUCGAAGCAACGCGAAGAACCUUACCAAGUCUUGACAUCCCAC
rnacentral:rRNA from 1 species